UUUAGUGAAACAAAAAUCACAUGGGCAUGUCUGAUCAAGCAAAUCACUACAAAAUGGCAGCAGGUGCUCAUGCUCACUUCCUCACUGGGGCAGGUUAGCACCUGGUUAACUCCUUCCUGCAAACCAACUCUCAACCAAUCAACAGACGCCAACACAAUAUCAAAGGUUUUGGUUUUAAACACACAAUGGAGCAAGACGGACAGGGACGAGGUCAGAGAGGACGUGCAAGACAAAGGGACAGAUGGAAAGGUGGACAUGGACAAGAACGACCAAGAACAGAAGUCAUCAGUGAAAUCAGAGACACUGCUGUAGACCAUGUGUGUGUCAUCAUUUUAUUCAGGAAAAUCGAUAGAUAACUAUCCAUCCAUGGUCUCGCCAUCAACUGAUGCCAGUCUGAACAUUCAUCUACCUUCCAUCCAUCCUUCUGACCCUCUAUUCAUCCAUCAACCUGAACAUCCAUUCAUCUCUUUGACCUUUCGGCUGAUCACCUAUCCCUUUAUCCAUCCAUCCAUCCAUCCAUCCAUCCAUCCAUCCACUUAGCUUAAUUAACCAACAGUGCUGAUGGUACUUACAGGCACUAAGAUGUAAAAUAACUCAUUUACAGACAAGAGUGUGUGUGUGUGUUUAGAUCUGUUUGUACUUUCACAUAUACAUACUGCUUUUAUGAAUAUUUAGCAUAUUUCCAGGAAGCCGUUUCUAAGGAAGCGAGUUAAGAUAAUCACAUGACUGUAAUCACCAAAUCAGCAGAUCUGAUGUUACAAGUUUUUUUGUAAAUUCCUCCUGUUUAAUGUUAAAUGAUUUAUUUGUGUAUCGUAGAAAUGUCUUUUAGUAUCAUGAUAUGAUAUUUUUGUUAUAUCCCCCCGCCCUGGUGCGUCCUGCUAUGAAGCGGAGUGUGCAGUAAACAGCAUCAGUGUUCAGUCUGGAUUUUGUACGGAUUGGGACUUCCUGUUUCCACAGAGAGAAACCAGAUUAAAGGCUAUCUUAUAAAUCA